UACGAAGGGGGCUAGCGUUGUUCGGAAUUACUGGGCGUAAAGCGCACGCAGGCGGCUCGAUAAGUUAGAAGUGAAAGCCCCGGGCUUAACCUGGGAAUUGCUUUUAAGACUGUCGGGCUAGAAUCCAGAAGAGGGUAGUGGAAUUCCGAGUGUAGAGGUGAAAUUCGUAGAUAUUCGGAAGAACACCAGUGGCGAAGGCGACUACCUGGUCUGGCAUUGACGCUCAUGUGCGAAAGCGUGGGGAGCAAACAGG
rnacentral:rRNA from 1 species